rnacentral:lncRNA from 1 species
CCCCCGGCAGCUGAAUGGCGGAGCCUGUCCCUGCAUAGCUGCGCUUCCACCUGGCGUUCAGUACCUCGUGCCCGAGAGCGGAAAAGGGAAAUCGCGAGCGGAGGACCGAUGUGCUGGCCACGUGGGCCCCGCCGGGCCGACUCCGGACCCUGCUGCCGCCCGCUGCUCCGGUGCAAGGGACCUGGAAGUGAUCCCGGUGCCGCUCCUCUCCCACCAGCUAGGGAGCAGAGGCGCGGGAGGGAGGGGGCGUCCCGGGGGUCGCCAGCACGCUGGGGGCAGGGCUGGCAGCCGCCCCCACGCCCCCGCGCUGGAAGCCUCGUCUUUGUAACAUCGAGGUGUCCUAUAACUAGAUGGGUCCUGGCCUGCGGAGGUAGUUUCCCCUGUGAAGCCAGGGACUCAGCUAGGAGCGUGAGGGGAGCCGGAUCCUGAGUCUCCAAACCGCCCACUACUCUGCUUUACCGGAUGGAACUCAUCAGCAACUAGGUCUGAGGCACAGUCAGUGAAUACCUGUUUAAUGAAUGCAUGCAUAAAUGAAUGAAUGGAUGAUCCAGCUCUUCCUGGAGCAGACACGACUUCCACAGAAACAAAAAGAGAGCAAACUCGAGCCGUAAGCAGAAGGAACGUUAUAGCUCCAGCGCUGAAUGAGACAUCUUAGGUUCUGUGGUGAUGUGGACUUUGUGCGUCCCUGUGAGGAAACACUUUGUUCCAAUGACGCAAUUUUCCUUACACUCCGGAAGUCCCCUGCACUGCCAGAAUUGCCCAGCUUCCCGGCACACCUAUCAACCAGUCGUUCCCAACACUGCCCAGUAUGCAGCCUCCAGGCAGAGGGCCUGGAUGUCUUGGCAGCCCACCCCAAAGCCCAAACUCCUGCCCGCAUGCUGGGAAGGUGAGCCCUUGCCUGGAGAGCCCAGCAGGGAAAAUAGAAGGAGGGAAGGAGGCCUGCUGCUUCCCUGGAGCUCUGUUCUGCGGCUGCAGGAAGACCCGCAGAGGCCCUGGGCAGCAGAACUGUGGGCAGCAAGGCCGGAGUUGUGAAACCCAACCACUCAGCUGGAUUCCAGAAGCUCAGGUGGUUGUGACUAAACCUGGCCUUACUCAAAAUGCGUGACUUUAUUGUCUUUCAAUGUAUUUUCAGUAAGCUUCAUCCUCUCUGUUACUAUUUCUUUUCUUCGGAAAAAAGCAACAGAUCUUUGUAAAAAUAAGUGAUGCGAUGCACUUAGGAAUCACCGUCAUGUGGAGAUGAGAUUUUUAUUUUUAUUUUCUGAGAGUCUCACUCUGUUGCCCAGCCUGGAUUGCAGUGACAUGAUCUCGGCUCACUGCAACCUCUGCCUCCCGGGCUCAAGCGAUUCUCAUGCCUCGGCCUCCUGAGUAGCUGGGAUUACAGGCAUGUACCACCAUGCCCAGCUAAUUUUUGUAUUUUCAGUAGAGAUGGGGUUUCGCCAUGUUGGCUAGGCUGAUCUCAAACUCCUGACCUCAAGUGAUCCACCCACCUCGGCCUCCCAAAGUGCUGGGAUGACAGGCGUGAGCCACCAUGCCUGGCUGGAGAUGAGACUUCUAUGUGUGGUGCUAAAAGAGUGAAUAAAAACAUCAGAUACUACACUGGACAUGCUUCUAAGAGCUUAGUCAUCUCACCUAAGUUCUGGGACCAACUCCCAUUUUCUUAGGAUUCCUUGGGCCCCCUCACCACCCCCCGGCCACCCCGCCCCGCUCAUUAUGAAAGUUCGGACAUCAC